UACGUAGGGGGCGAGCGUUGUCCGGAGUUACUGGGCGUAAAGGGCAUGCAGGCGGUCGGACGCGUUUCGGGUGACAGCGGGUGGCUUAACUACCCGAGUGGUCGAAAGACGGUUUGACUUGAGGACGCGAGAGGGACACGGAAUUCCGGGUGGAGUGGUGAAAUGCGUAGAGAUCCGGAGGAACACCGAAGGCGAAGGCAGUGUCCUGGCGCGUAACUGACGCUGAGGCACGAAGGCCAGGGGAGCAAACGGG
rnacentral:rRNA from 1 species